GACGAACGCUGGCGGCGUGCCUAAUACAUGCAAGUCGAGCGGAAGUUGGAGAGCUUGCUCUUCAACUUUAGCGGCGGACGGGUGAGUAACACGUGGGCAACCUGCCCUGCAGAUCGGGAUAACUCCGGGAAACCGGUGCUAAUACCGAAUAGUUUUCGCCACCUCCUGGUGGCGUACGGAAAGACGGUUUCGGCUGUCACUGCAGGAUGGGCCCGCGGCGCAUUAGCUAGUUGGUGGGGUAACGGCCCACCAAGGCAACGAUGCGUAGCCGCCCUGAGAGGGUGAUCGGCCACACUGGGACUGAGACACGGCCCAGACUCCUACGGGAGGCAGCAGUAGGGAAUCUUCCGCAAUGGACGAAAGUCUGACGGAGCAACGCCGCGUGAGUGACGAAGGUUUUCGGAUCGUAAAACUCUGUUGUGAGGGAAGAACAAGUACCAACUAACUACUGGUACCUUGACGGUACCUCACCAGAAAGCCACGGCUAACUACGUGCCAGCCGCCGCAGUAAAAC
rnacentral:rRNA from 1 species